GACGAACGCUGGCGGCGUGCUUAACACAUGCAAGUCGAACGGUAAGGCCCUUCGGGGUACACGAGUGGCGAACGGGUGAGUAACACGUGGGUGAUCUGCCCUGCACUUCGGGAUAAGCCUGGGAAACUGGGUCUAAUACCGGAUAGGACCCUGGGAUGCAUGUCCUGGGGUGGAAAGCUUUUGCGGUGUGGGAUGGGCCCGCGGCCUAUCAGCUUGUUGGUGGGGUGAUGGCCUACCAAGGCGACGACGGGUAGCCGGCCUGAGAGGGUGACCGGCCACACUGGGACUGAGAGACCGCCCAGACGCCUACGGGAGGCAGCAGUGGGGAAUAUUGCUCAAUGGGCGCAAGCCUGAUGCAGCGACGCCGCGUGAGGGAUGACGGCCUUCGGGUUGUAAACCUCUUUCAGCACCGACGAAGCGCAAGUGACGGUAGGUGCAGAAGAAGGACCGGCCAACUACGUGCCAGCCGCCGCAGUAA
rnacentral:rRNA from 1 species